rnacentral:rRNA from 1 species
ACUCCUACGGGAGGCAGCAGUGGGGAAUUUUGGACAAUGGGCGAAAGCCUGAUCCAGCAAUGCCGCGUGAGUGAAGAAGGCCUUCGGGUUGUAAAGCUCUUUUGUCAGGGAAGAAACGGUGAGAGCUAAUAUCUUUUGCUAAUGACGGUACCUGAAGAAUAAGCACCGGCUAACUACGUGCCAGCAGCCGCGGUAAUACGUAGGGUGCAAGCGUUAAUCGGAAUUACUGGGCGUAAAGCGUGCGCAGGCGGUUUUGUAAGUCUGAUGUGAAAUCCCCGGGCUCAACCUGGGAAUUGCAUUGGGGACUGCAAGGCUAGAAUCUGGCAGAGGGGGGUAGAAUUCCACGUGUAGCAGUGAAAUGCGUAGAUAUGUGGAGGAACACCGAUGGCGAAGGCAGCCCCCUGGGUCAAGAUUGACGCUCAUGCACGAAAGCGUGGGGAGCAAACAGGAUUAGAUACCCCUGUAGUCCCAUGA